rnacentral:ncRNA from 2 species
AAAACAUCUGCAGGAGAGAGAGUCGUGGAUUUACACACUCCGCCGAAGGCGCAAACUCCCAUAAUCGCUCAGGCAUACCGAACUGCAGAAAUGAU